ensembl:lncRNA
AGGAAAUUGAGCUUUGUUUCCUUAACCCCCACCAGGCACAAUUAAGCUCCUGGACGUUACAUAUACAAUCACAAGAAUACAGGCAUGCCUCCUUUUACUGUGCUUCCCAGAUAAUCUGAGUUUUUACAACUUGAAGGUUUGUGGCAACCCGCAUCAGGCAAGCCUAUCAGUGCCAUUUCCCCACUAGCAUUGUUUUUUAAUUGAAGUGUCUACUUUGUUGCAUCAGGCAUAAUGCUCCUGCAGACCUACAGACCACAGUAUAGUGUGAACGUAACUUUGAUAGACACUGGGAGCACAGAAGAGUUUCCGUAACUCACUUUGCUGGGAUAUCUGCUUUGUUGCCGUGGUCUCCAACUGAGCCCACAACAUCUCUGGGGUCUGCCUGUACUCUGAAGAGUGGAGGGAAGGCAGCAGACGGACGAAGAGUGGAGACACAGGUUCAAUCCCUGGUCUGGGAAGAUCCCACGUGCCACGGAGCAACCGAGCCCGGGUGCCGCAACUACAGAGCCUGCGCCUGAGAGCCCGGGGAGCCACAGCUACUGAAGCGCGCGUGCCGGAGAGCCUGUGCUCUCAGCGAGAGAGGCCACCGCGGUGAGAAACCUGCGCACCAUAACUAGAGGGGAGCCCCCGCUCACCACAGCUACAGAGAAGCCCGUGCGGCAACGAAGACCCAGCACAACCAGAAAUAAACAAAGAAUUAAAAAAAAAAAAGGUAUGGAACACUCAGGACAAUCAGACACACUCAGAGAAGCCACACCCUCACAGUAAGGCCAAAUGAACUCUAGAAUAUCCCCAGAGGUUGUUUUUAAGCCUUGAAAGGAUAAGCUGAACUAGUCAUUUUAUCAACCUCCAAAACAUAGUUAGUUUCACUUUAAAGACAGGAAGCAGAAUCUGUAUACUCAACAGCAUAACUUCGGGGACUUCCCUGGCAGUCCAAGGGUUAGGACUCUGUCCUUUCACAGCCAAGGGCGUGAGUUCACUCCCUGCUCGGGAACAAAGUUCCUGCAAGCUGACUGGCUCGAACGAAAAAACGAAAAACGACGUAACUGUCCUAUCACAGAGCGCAUAGGCAGUCAAAAGCAACGCUGCAGUC